AUGUCCGGCGAUAACUCGACGGAGGCUGGCCGAAAACGAAGCCGAGGCGCGGAGGCAGCGACUAGGAAGGAAGCUCUAGAGCGGCUGAAAGCGAUUCGGCAAGGAGGACUUCGGAAUCUAGCAGCUUCAGGUGGCGGCUACGAUAUCAGGAUAGAAGAACCGAUCUUCGACACCGUCGAUGACGACGAGUACGACGCGAUCGUGUCCCGGCGGCGCGAGGAGGCUCGCGGAUUCGUAGUCGACGACGGGGAAGACGGAGAUCUGGGUUACGGCGACGAAGGCGAGGAGGAGGAUUUCACGAAGCCCAGUGGGCCUGACUCGACUGAUGAAUCGGACGACGGCGGUGGAUUUAGCGGGAGACUGAGGAAGAAGAAAGCUGAGAAGAAGAAAGGGAAGGAACAGCCUCAGGUUAAGAAGGUGAAUCCGGCGCUCAAGGCUGCGGCUACUAUUACAGGUGAAGGGAGACUCUCUUCGAUGUUCACAUCUUCGAGUUUCAAGAAGGGGAAGGAGACUGAUACGGUAAAGUGCGAGGGUAUUCUUGACGAGGUUUUAGCUGAGGUAACUCCUGAUGAUUUGGAUAGAGAAAGGCAUAGGAGAAGGAAACAACCACCUACAGUUCCAGUUAUGUUCUCUAGGAAUAAAAAUGUGGUUUCUGUUACCUCCAGCAUGGCAAUGAAGGAUUCAGAACCCACAAGUGAUCGUGUUUUCAUGGAGAAGGAGUUGGUGAAAGAGAUGAAAGAAGAAGUUGUGACAGAAUCUGAAGUCACCCCUCCGCAUGAUUCCGAGAAGAUGGAGUUACCUGGAAGUGAUGGUGUUGUAGAGGAUGGAUCAAACAAUAGAAGACAAAGUGAAGCGAAGGCUGAGUCAGAAGUGAAGGAUGUGUUUACAUUGAAUGCAACGGUUGAUUUGAAAGAGAAGGAUUCGGCUUUAAGCGCCACUGCUGGUUGGAAGGAAGCAAUGGUCAAAGGUGGGACUGAGAAUGGGGCUCCACUUAGUUCUAAUUGCGAAGGGCAAACGGAAUUUGAUUUGGAUGCUGAUGGUUCACUUCGUUUUUACAUUCUUGACGCUUACGAGGAGGCUUUUGGAGCGAGUAUGGGCACAAUAUAUUUGUUUGGGAAGGUUAAGAUGGGAGAUACGUACAAGAGUUGCUCUGUGGUAGUUAAGAAUAUCCAGAGAUGUGUUUAUGCUAUUCCCAAUGAUUCCGUAUUUCCUUCACAUGAACUAAUCACGCUCGAGCAAGAGGUGAAAGACUCUAAACUUUCUCCUGAAUCAUUCCGGGGGAAGUUACAUGAAAUGGCAUCAAAUUUGAAGAACGAAAUUUCUCAGCAAUUGUUACAACUCAAUGUUUCCAGUUAUAGCAUGGCACUUGUCAAGAGAAACUAUGCAUUUGAGAGGCCUGAUGUGCCUGUUGGCGAACAAUAUGUCUUGAAGAUAAAUUAUCCAUUUAAGGAUCCUCCUCUUCCAGAAGACCUCAAAGGGGAGUCUUUUAGCGCUGUCCUUGGCUCUAACACCAGUGCUUUGGAGCUUUUUAUCCUUAAAAGGAAGAUUAUGGGACCGUCUUGGCUCAAAAUUUCAAACUUUUCUACCAAUUCACCCUCUCAACGAGUGAGCUGGUGCAAGUUUGAGGUUACUGUUGAAUCUCCCAAGGUUAUCACUGUUUUAGUUUCGGAGGAAAAAGUUGCUCAUCCUCCUGCUGUAGUUACAGCCAUAAAUUUAAAGACUAUAGUCAAUGAAAAGCAGAACAUAAGCGAAAUUGUUUCUGCGUCUGUUCUCUGCUUUCACAACGCCAAGAUUGAUGUUCCAAUGCCAGGUCCAGAAAGGAAGAGGUCUGGUAUUCUGAGUCAUUUCACUGUUGUUAGGAAUCCUGAAGGAACCGGUUACCCAAUUGGUUGGAAAAAAGAAGUGGCUGACAGAAAUUCAAAGAACCGCUGCAGCGUUUUAAGUUUUGAAAAUAGUGAAAGAGCAUUGCUGAAUCGGCUGUUUCUGGAGCUGAACAAAUUGGACAGUGAUGUUCUUGUGGGACAUAAUAUAUCAGGUUUUGAUCUGGAUGUCCUUCUCCAAAGAGCCCAGGCUUGCAAAGUUUUGAGUAGCAUGUGGUCCAAAAUUGGCCGUCUCAAACGCUCUUCCAUGCCUAAGCUUAAAGGGAACACUAAUUAUGGGUCCGGAGCUACACUAGGGAUCAUGUCUUGCAUUGCUGGAAGACUCUUGUGUGAUACAGAUCUAUGUUCUCGUGACUUGUUGAAGCAGGUCAGUUAUUCGUUAACAGAUCUCUCAAAGACACAGCUAAACCGGGACAGGAAAGAGAUAUCGCCUAAUGACAUUCCCAAAAUGUUUCAGUCAUCUAAAACACUUGUCGAACUUAUUGAAUGUGGUGAAACAGAUGCGUGGUUAUCGAUGGAGCUCAUGUUUCAUCUAAGUGUUCUUCCACUCACUCUCCAGCUAACUAACAUAAGUGGCAAUCUUUGGGGAAAAACUCUUCAGGGAGCCAGGGCGCAGAGAAUUGAAUAUUACUUGCUACAUACAUUCCACUCGAAAAAGUACAUCCUCCCAGACAAAAAUUCACAACGUAUGAAGGAAAUAAAGUCAUCAAAAAGAAGAAUGAAUCAUGGUCCGGAGGGCCACAAUGUAGAUGAAUUGGAUGCUGACCUGGCUUUGGAAAAUGAUCCGUCUAAGGACAACAAAGCAAAGAAGGGUCCAGCCUACGCUGGUGGACUGGUCUUGGAGCCAAAGAAAGGCUUAUAUGACAAAUAUGUAUUGCUUCUCGAUUUCAAUAGUCUUUACCCGUCUAUUAUACAGGAAUAUAAUAUCUGUUUCACGACCAUACCACGAUCAGAAGAUGGAGUUCCUCGUUUACCGUCGAGUCAGACACCUGGAAUUCUUCCAAAGUUGAUGGAACAUUUGGUCAGUAUAAGGAAAAGCGUCAAACUAAAGAUGGCAAAGGAAACAGGUCUUAAGUACUGGGAGCUUGACAUUAGGCAGCAGGCAAUAAAGCUCACAGCCAAUAGUAUGUAUGGAUGUCUGGGUUUUUCCAAUUCAAGAUUCUACGCUAAGCCUUUAGCAGAGCUCAUAACACUACAGGGAAGGGAGAUCCUGCAAAGAACCGUGGAUCUUGUCCAAAAUCAUUUAAACCUAGAGGUGAUUUACGGUGACACAGAUUCAAUCAUGAUUCACAGUGGACUAGAUGAUAUCGAAGAGGUGAAAGCCAUUAAAACAAAAGUCAUCCAAGAGGUCAAUAAGAAGUAUAGAUGUCUGAAAAUUGACUGUGAUGGUAUAUAUAAGAGGAUGCUUCUUCUUAGAAAAAAGAAAUAUGCUGCCGUCAAGUUGCAGUUCAAGGACGGGAAGACUUGCGAGGACAUUGAAAGAAAAGGUGUGGACAUGGUUCGUCGAGAUUGGAGCUUACUUUCCAAGGAAAUUGGAGAUUUAUGCUUGUCUAAGAUCUUGUGUGGAGGGUCAUGUGAGGAUGUUGUUGAAGCAAUUCAUAGCGAGCUUAUGAAGAUAAAAGAGGAAAUGAGAAAUGGGAAAGUUGCACUUGAGAAGUAUGUCAUCACCAAGGCAUUAACUAAGUCACCAGAAGCGUAUCCAGAUUCCAAAAGCCAACCACACGUUCAAGUUGCACUCAGAAUGAGGCAACGUGGUUAUAAAGAAGGUUUCAAUGCUAAGGAUACUGUACCAUAUAUAAUCUGCUAUGAACAGGGUAAUACUAGCUCUGCGAGCUCAGCAGGGAUUGGCGAACGUGCUAGGCAUCCUGAUGAGGUGAAAUCAGAAGACAGCAGAUGGUUGGUUGACAUAGAUUACUACUUGGCACAGCAGAUUCAUCCUGUGGUGUCUCGUUUAUGCGCAGAGAUUCAGGGCACAAGUCCUGAGAGGUUAGCCGAGUGUUUAGGACUUGACCCAUCAAAGUAUCGAAGCAGAUCAAACGAUGCUACUGGCAGUGAUCCUUCUACAGCACUCUUGUUUGCUACAAGCGAUGAAGAAAGAUACAAAAGCUGCGAGCCGUUAGCAUUAGCAUGCCCCAACUGCUCUGCUGCUUUCAACUGUCCAUCUAUUACUAGCUCAGUCUAUGCGUCGAUCAGUAAGAAAUCUGAAACAGAGGAAUCUGAUUCUACAUUCUGGCUUAAGCUGCAAUGCCCGAAAUGUGAGCCAGAAGGUAGCACGGGAAGAAUAUCCCCUGCAAUGAUAUCUAACCAGGUGAAAAGGCAGAUCGAUGGGUUUGUAUCUAUGUACUACAAAGGCAUAAUGAUGUGUGACGAUGAGUCUUGCAAGCACACAACUCGCAUCCCCAACUUCCGUCUGCUUGGUGACCGUGAACGGGGAACAGUUUGUCCAAACUAUCCUAAUUGUAAUGGAACUCUCUUAAGAAAGCUUUUAACUCCAAGCCUUGCCUUAUUACAGUACACUGAAGCAGACUUGUACAAGCAGCUGUCAUACUUUUGCCACAUAUUAGACACCCAGUGCAAUCUAGAAAAGCAGAUGGAUGUUGGUGUCAGAAUUCAAGUAGAGAAAGCAUUGACGAAGACAAGACCUGCGGUUCAGGCAGCAGCAUCCAUGGCUCGAAGUAUCCGAGACCGGUGUGCGUACGGAUGGCUGCAACUCACAGACAUAGCCAUUUGAUCGUAAUCAUGUAGUUAAAUUUAUACAUUUUUUUUCUUACAUCAUUAUAAUGAAGCUACUCAGUUUUGUUCAGUCCUAAAGCUUAUUAGCAUAACACUUUGAAAUAUAACCAGUAGCAGUUUUGUUCAGUCCUAAAGCUUAUUAGCAUAACACUUUGAAAUAUAACCAAAUCAUUUUCGGCUCAUGUUUCUGUGGAGAGGAAAUCUGACUUCGAAUCCUCUUCACUGUCUGAACGUUGUCUU